rnacentral:lncRNA from 1 species
AGAUUCGUCUGAUGUGGAAGCUCGUCUGAAGAUGAUCCAUCAGAGAAGUCCGAUUUCAUGAAGGAUCUAGUGGAGGGUCGGCCGACGAUGGACUUCGGAUGGCGUUGGGGAGGUUCGGCAGACAUCGAAGGCGAUCGAUCGUUGUAGGAAUCCAGCUGCCGGAGUUCGUCCGUCAUAGAAGCUCAUCCGAUAUCCAUCCGCUAUGAAAGUUCGGUCGGAGUCUGGUUCUUAUAGAAGGCUGAAAGGAGACCGCUUAUUGUAGAAGCUCGGUCGAAGAUCGAUUGUCGUGGGAGCUCGGAGUAGCGACCUGGCUGGUGGGUCCUGUCCCAUUGUAGAAACUCGUCUGGGACCCGACUAUGAAGAAGCUUGACUGAAGUCUACCUGUAAUAGAAGUUCGAAAGAAAUAUGUUUAUAGUAGAGGCCCGAAUGGAAUUUGCUUACAGUAGAUAUCCAGGGUAGACCACCCGUUGUAGGAGUUCGGAGUAGACCGCUCAUAGUAGGAGUUUGGCUCUCGCAGGAGCUCGGUUGGAAUCCUGAAGGCGGUCGACCACCGUAAAAACUUGGAUGGAGUCUGAUUACUGUAGAAAUCUCAUUGUCGAAGAAGCUCGGAUAUUGGC